rnacentral:rRNA from 1 species
CCUACGGGAGGCAGCAGUGGGGAAUAUUGGACAAUGGGCGCAAGCCUGAUCCAGCCACGCCGCGUGAGUGAUGAAGGCCUCGGUCGUAAGACUCUGUGGGGAGGGACGAACGGCGCCAUGAAGAGUGGCGAUUGACGGUACCUCCUUAGCAAGCACCGGCUAACUUCGUGCCAGCAGCCGCGGUAAU